rnacentral:rRNA from 1 species
UACGUAGGGGGCGAGCGUUGUCCGGAAUCAUUGGGCGUAAAGCGCGUGUAGGCGGCCCGGUAAGUCCGCUGUGAAAGUCCAGGGCUCAACCCUGGGAUGCCGGUGGAUACUGUCGGGCUCGAGUCCGGAAGAGGCGAGUGGAAUUCCUGGUGUAGCGGUGAAAUGCGCAGAUAUCAGGAGGAACACCAAUGGCGAAGGCAGCUCGCUGGGACGGUACUGACGCUGAGACGCGAAAGCGUGGGGAGCAAACAGG